rnacentral:rRNA from 1 species
AUUGAACGCUGGCGGAAUGCUUUACACAUGCAAGUCGAACGGCAGCACGGGUGCUUGCACCUGGUGGCGAGUGGCGAACGGGUGAGUAGUACAUCGGAACGUACCCAGUCGUGGGGGAUAACGUAGCGAAAGUUACGCUAAUACCGCAUACGUCCUGAGGGAGAAAGCGGGGGAGCGUAAGGCAUCGCGCGAUUGGAGCGGCAGAUGGCGGAUAAGCUAGUUGGUGGGGUAAGGGCCUACCAAGGCGACGAUCCGUAGCGGGUCUGAGAGGACGGCCCGCCACACUGGAACUGAGACACGGUCCAGACUCCUACGGGAGGCAGCAGUGGGGAAUUUUGGACAAUGGGCGAAAGCCUGAUCCAGCCAUUCCGCGUGAGUGAAGAAGGCCUUCGGGUUGUAAAGCUCUUUCGGCAGGGAAGAAACGGCUUGGGAUAAUACCCCGGGCUAAUGACGGUACCUGAAGAAGAAGCACCGGCUAACUACGUGCCAGCAGCCGCCGUAA